rnacentral:rRNA from 1 species
GACGAACGCUGGCGGCGUGCUUAACACAUGCAAGUCGAACGAUGAAGCCGGAGCUUGCUCCGGUGGAUUAGUGGCGAACGGGUGAGUAACACGUGAGCAAUCUGCCCUUGACUCUGGGAUAACUGCGGGAAACUGUAGCUAAUACCGGAUACGACACCUUGGGGCAUCCCAGGGUGUGGAAAGAAUUUCGGUCAAGGAUGAGCUCGCGGCCUAUCAGCUAGUUGGUGAGGUAAUGGCUCACCAAGGCGACGACGGGUAGCCGGCCUGAGAGGGGGACCGGCAACACGGGAACUGAGACACGGACCAGACUCCUACGGGAGGCAGCAGUGGGGAAUAUUGCACAAUGGGCGAAAGCCUGAUGCAGCAACGCCGCGUGAGGGAUGAAGGCCUUCGGGUUGUAAACCUCUUUUAGCAGGGAAGAAGCGAAAGUGACGGUACCUGCAGAAAAAGCACCGGCUAACUACGUGCCAGCCGCCGCGGUAA